GAGUUUGAUCGUGGCUCAGAAUGAACGCUGGCGGCGUGCUUUACACAUGCAAGUCGAGCGAGGCGUGUAGCAAUACACAGUCGAGCGGCGAACGGGUGAGUAACGCGUGGAUAACCUGCCCUGAGGUGUGGAACAACCAGGGGAAACUCUGGCUAAUACCGCAUGAUACCGUGAGGUCAAAGGGGGCUCGCAAGGGCUCUCGCCACAGGAGGGGUCCGCGUCCGAUUAGCUAGUUGGUAGGGUAAUGGCCUACCAAGGCGACGAUCGGUAGCCGGCCUGAGAGGGUGAUCGGCCACACUGGAACUGAGACACGGUCCAGACUCCUACGGGAGGCAGCAGUGGGGAAUUUUGCGCAAUGGGCUAACGCCUGACGCAGCAACGCCGCGUGGAGGAUGAAGGUCUUUGGAUUGUAAACUCCUGUCAGCAGGGAAAAGCGAAUUGGCCUAACACGCCAGUGAGUUGAUUGUACCUGCAGAGGAAGCCCCGGCUAACUCUGUGCCAGCAGCCGC
rnacentral:rRNA from 1 species